UAGAUAUUUAUUUUCAGUAGACAGAUUUGUUGCAUACAAGACAAUAUAUAACCUUUCCGUCUGAUGAAAAUACUUCUUUAUUUUUAUUGUAAGGAGCAAUCCAAUUUGAAAUUUAACUUUCUAAAGUUGAUUUUAUUUUAGGCAUUACGUCGAAUACGUUCACUGUGCGGCAGACUGAUCAAAGAAAUAUGUACUAAGGUACCAACAGUUAAAAGCACGCGAAUCGCUCUACUACUAUGUUGAAUUUAUUUACUACUCCAUAUAUAUAUAUAUGUAGACGCUUAUUGCUCGCUGGGCUCUCCAAGCUUCUAGAAAAUUCCUGACGAACAAUGAACGCCUAUGAUUCAAAAACAUUGGAAAAUUGCAAAAAAUUGUAUUAUAAAAUUAAAUAGGCAGAAUCUUUUUAGUAUAUAUCGGCUAUAUAUUUAAUUAGAUCUGAUUUAUCUUUAUUGCAAAAAAAGUUGCAAUAUCAAUUAAAUCCGGUCUUUAGUCAUAACUGUUUAAAGUUUAGACCUGAGGAGUAGGGAAGAGUUAUCAAUUAUCGUUUAAAAAUAGAUACACAAUUUAGCGAGUAUAGGAAAAAAAUUAAAAAUGGUUUUAAAAUAAAGCCUUUAACAAUUAUACAAAGAUUAAAAAAUAUAUAAAUUACAUUCACUUAAAAACGUCCAAAAUAAUUACUGGUUCAUGAUAAAAAUACAAAUCACCUUUUUUUGACAAAUUUAAUAUCCCCUCCAUCAUUCUUUAUUUUUCA